rnacentral:rRNA from 1 species
UACAGAGGUCUCAAGCGUUGUUCGGAUUCAUUGGGCGUAAAGCGUGUGUAGGCGGACUUGUAAGUACCUUGUGAAAUCCCACGGCUCAACCGUGGAACUGCUUGGUAUACUGCUUGUCUUGAGCCACUUAGGGGCUACCGGAACAAAUGGUGGAGCGGUGAAAUGCGUAGAUAUCAUUUGGAACGCCAAUGGUGAAAACAGGUAGCUGGGAGUGUGCUGACGCUGAGACACGAAAGCCAGGGGAGCGAACGGG